rnacentral:lncRNA from 1 species
UAAGAUCAUAAAGUUGCAUAUUAUUAUUACAUGUCAUAAAGUUGGAUAUUAUUAUUAUUAUUAUUAAAUAUUGUACAACUUAUAUCUUGUCCCAUUCACCAAUAGUAACUCUUCCAUUACACUUGUCUUAAUCUCACUUUCUUCCGCUGCGAUACGGCUCUGCCAUAGUUCUGGGCGAAGAAUGGUUUGAAAACGACUUUGAAGCUUUGGAUACAGAUUGAUUAACUAGACUCUGUGAAUGUGAAUGUGAAUGUGAUUGAACAAUAGUUGUUUCUGUCACCGGAGGAACAUUGCUUCCCAUUCCUCUCGUGCACCAGCAACAACAGAUAUUCCCCAUGACUGAGUGAUGUAA